GACGAACGCUGGCGGCGUGCUUAACACAUGCAAGUCGAACGGAAAGGCCCCUUUGGGGGUACUCGAGUGGCGAACGGGUGCGUAACACGUGAGUAACCUGCCCUUGACUUCGGGAUAACUUCAGGAAACUGGGGCUAAUACCGGAUAGGAAUCUUUGCUGCAUGGUGGGGGUUGGAAAGCUUCGGCGGUUUUGGAUGGACUCGCGGCUUAUCAGCUUGUUGGUGGGGUAGUGGCUUACCAAGGCUUUGACGGGUAGCCGGCCUGAGAGGGCGACCGGCCACACUGGGACUGAGAGACGGCACAGACUCCUACGGGAGGCAGCAGUGGGGAAUAUUGCACAAUGGGCGGAAGCCUGAUGCAGCAACGCCGCGUGCGGGAUGACGGCCUUCGGGUUGUAAACCGCUUUCAGCAGGGGCGAAGCUUGUGGUGACGGUACCUGCAGAAGAAGCACCGGCUAACUACGUG
rnacentral:rRNA from 1 species